rnacentral:rRNA from 1 species
AGCGAACGCUGGCGGCAGGCUUAACACAUGCAAGUCGAGCGGGCACUUUCGGGUGUCAGCGGCGGACGGGUGAGUAACGCGUGGGAACGUGCCCUCUGGUUCGGAAUAACUCAGGGAAACUUGAGCUAAUACCGGAUACGCCCUUUUGGGGAAAGGCUUGCUGCCGGAGGAUCGGCCCGCGUCUGAUUAGCUAGUUGGUGAGGUAACGGCUCACCAAGGCGACGAUCAGUAGCUGGUCUGAGAGGAUGAUCAGCCACACUGGGACUGAGACACGGCCCAGACUCCUACGGGAGGCAGCAGUGGGGAAUAUUGGACAAUGGGCGCAAGCCUGAUGCAGCCAUGCCGCGUGAGUGAUCAAGGCCUUAGGGUUGUAAAGCUCUUUUAUCCGGGACGAUAAUGACGGUACCGGAGGAAUAAGCCCCGGCUAACUUCGUG